rnacentral:rRNA from 1 species
UACGUAGGGUGCAAGCGUUGUCCGGAAUUAUUGGGCGUAAAGAGCUCGUAGGCGGUUUGUCGCGUCUGCUGUGAAAACUCGGGGCUUAACCCCGGGCCUGCAGUGGGUACGGGCAGACUAGAGUGCGGUAGGGGAGACUGGAAUUCCUGGUGUAGCGGUGAAAUGCGCAGAUAUCAGGAGGAACACCGGUGGCGAAGGCGGGUCUCUGGGCAACAACUGACGCUGAGGAGCGAAAGCGUGGGGAUCAGACAGG